rnacentral:rRNA from 1 species
CGUGCAGGCGGCUUGUCAGGUCCGAUGUGAAAGCCCCGGGCUCAACCCGGGAAGCGCAUUGGAAACCGGCAGGCUUGAAUACGGGAGAGGGCAGUGGAAUUCCUGGUGUAGGGGUGAAAUCCGCAGAUAUCAGGAAGAACACCUGUGGCGAAGGCGGCUGCCUGGACCGAUAUUGACGCUGAGACGCGAAAGCGUGGGGAGCAAACAGGAUUAGAUACCCUGGUAGUCCACGCCGUAAACGAUGAGUACUAGGUGUUGCGGGUAUUGACCCCUGCAGUGCCGCAGCUAACGCAUUAAGUACUCCGCCUGGGAAGUACGGCCGCAAGGCUAAA